rnacentral:rRNA from 1 species
GGCGCGUCUAGUAUAACUGUUUAUACUGUGAAACUGCGAAUGGCUCAUUAAAUCAGUUAUCGUUCCUUUGAUAUUCCUUUUUUACUUGAAUACCUGUGGUAAUUCUAAACCUAAUACUUGCUACAUGCCCCGACUUCAGGAUGGGGUGUAUUUGAUAGAUUUUAUACCUACGCCAUUCGGGGCUCCUUGGUGAAUCAAAAUAACUUAACUAAUCUCAUGGCCUUGCGCCGGACAUGGUUCGUUCAUCUUUCUGCCCUAUCAACUUUCUAUGGUAGGAUAGUGGCCUACCAUGGUGGCUCCGGGUACCGGGGAAUUAAGGUUCUAUUCCGGAGACGGAUCCUGAAAAACGGCUACCACAUCCGUUGAACGCAGCAGGCGCGCAAAUUACCCAAUCCCGAAACGGGGAGGUAAUGACAAAAAAUAAUGAUACGGGGCUCUUUCCGGUCCCAUAGAUGGAAUGAGAACCAUUUAUAUCCCUUACCCAGGAACGAUUGGAGGGCACGACUGGGCCCAGCACCCAACUCUAUUGAGGCCCCGUAAUUGGAAUGAGUACAAUUUAAAUCCUUUAACGAGGAUCUAUUGGAGGGCAAGUCUGGUCCCCAGCAGCCA